AUUGAACGCUGGCGGCAGGCCUAACACAUGCAAGUCGAGCGAGCGGCGGACGGGUGAGGAAGGUAUGGGGACUGCCCGAUAGAUGGGGAUCACUACGGGAAACGGUAGCUAAUACCGCAUACUAUCGGAUUACCCCUAGGGGAUUGGCUAGUAGGUGGGGUAAUGGCUCACCUAGGCGACGAUCCCUGGCUGGUCUGAGAGGAUGAUCAGCCACACUGGGACUGAGACACGGCCCAGACUCCUACGGAGGCAGCAGUGGGGAAUAUUGCACAAUGGGCGCAAGCCUGACGCAGCCAUGCCGCGUGUAUGAAGAAGGCCUUCGGGUUGUAAAGUACUUUCAGUCGGGAGGCGUUACCGACAGAAGAAGCACCGGCUAACUCCGUGCCAGCAGCCGCGGUAAUAC
rnacentral:rRNA from 1 species